GAAGGUAUAGCUCAGUGGUAGAGUGUGUGCUUAGCAUGCAUGAGGUCCUGGAUUCAAUAUCCAGUACCUCUG
rnacentral:tRNA from 1 species